rnacentral:rRNA from 1 species
GUUUGGCACCUCGAUGUCGGCUCAUCGCAUCCUGGGGCUGUAGUCGGUCCCAAGGGUUGGGCUGUUCGCCCAUUAAAGCGGUACGCGAGCUGGGUUCAGAACGUCGUGAGACAGUUCGGUCCCUAUCCGUCGUGGGCGUAGGAAAUUUGAGAGGAGCUGUCCUUAGUACGAGAGGACCGGGAUGGACAUACCUCUGGUGUACCAGUUGUCGUGCCAACGGCAUAGCUGGGUAGCUAUGUGUGGACGGGAUAAGUGCUGAAAGCAUCUAAGCAUGAAGCCCCCCUCAAGAUGAGAUUUCCCAACUUCGGUUAUAAGAUCCCUUAAAGAUGAUGAGGUUAAUAGGUUCGAGGUGGAAGCAUGGUGACAUGUGUAGCUGACGAAUACUAAUCGAUCGAAGACUUAAUCAA